rnacentral:tRNA from 1 species
CUCGCCAUCGCCCAAGCGGAAAGGGUGCCACCGUGCGAAGGUGGAGGCUGAAGGUUCGAGUCCUUCUGGCGAGGCCA